rnacentral:rRNA from 1 species
UACGAAGGGGGGCUAGCGUUGCUCGGAAUUACUGGGCGUAAAGGGAGCGUAGGCGGACAUUUUAAGUCAGAGGUGAAAUCCCGGAGCUUAACUUCGGAACUGCCUUUGAUACUGGGUGUCUUGAGUGUGAGAGAGGUAUGUGGAACUCCGAGUGUAGAGGUGAAAUUCGUAGAUAUUCGGAAGAACACCAGUGGCGAAGGCGACAUACUGGCUCAUUACUGACGCUGAGGCUCGAAAGCGUGGGGAGCAAACAGG